ACUUGUCAAAUAACAAUUUGGAGCUUAUUCCUGAGAAAGCGUUCCAGAAUCUGACGAGUUUAGCCCACUUAUACUUGUCAAGUAACAGGUUGGAGUUUAUUCCUGAGAAAGCGUUCCAGAAUCUGACGAGUUUAACCCACUUGUUUUUAAGUUUUAAUAGACUCUCCGAUAUUUCAAGACAAACUUUUGCCGGGCUUAAAUGCCUGAAGCUUCUG